rnacentral:tRNA from 1 species
CGGAGUGUAGCGCAGCCUGGUUAGCGCAUCUGGUUUGGGACCAGAGGGUCGGGAGUUCGAAUCUCUCCACUCCGACCA